AACGCACGAGACCUGCGGACCUGCGGAGGGAUCAUUACCGAGUUCAUGCCCUCACGGGUAGAUCUCCCACCCUUGUGUAUUCUAUGUUUGUGUUGCUUUGGCAGGCCGUGGGCCUCGCCCACCACCGGCUCUCGGGCUGGUGUGCGCCUGCCAGAGGACUCUUUAAACUCUGUUUGUUAGUGUCGUCUGAGUAUGAUAACAAUCGUUAAAACUUUCAGCAACGGAUCUCUAGAUCGGAAG
rnacentral:misc_RNA from 1 species